rnacentral:lncRNA from 1 species
CUUCGAGGAGGAGAGGCAGUGUGUGAUGCUUUAACUGUGACCAUCCCGGGGGUCGUACUGAUAUAUGGAUCUCACAAAGAAGGAUGACCAGGAGCUCAUGUGCUUGGCUGAAAGCCGUGAGGGCUGUGACAGAGAGGAUAUUCUGCCAGGCCAACACGGCAUUGCUAAGCCUCCAGUUCAGAGCAGAUGAGUCCACUUUGGUGACAGCUGUACUGAUGUGGUGAGACUCUUUUAUCUUUUUGGCCUCUCCUUUAGAUUGCUUAUAUUUCUUUUAUAGGCUUUUAUAUCUCUUUUAAGUUUAUCUUUUGUAAGUGGAAAGCUGUUACAUUGAGGGGGAGAAAAAGAGUUGCAUCUUGUGCGUUUCUUCCCUGCACUCUGGACACAGAGCAAAUGGGUGGAGAGCACAGAGGACCAGGGCAAGGGUGGGAGUUUUGCUCCGAGCGUGGAUGAUUGGAUCGGACUUUUGAGUUCCUGGAAGGCAAUGUGACUGUAUGUCCUGAUGUACACAGGACAGCCCCGAGUUUCCCCAGACAUUCUCCGUAGACAACAGCAGCUCUCCUUUGCACUUUCACGAGUGAGUUGUUUUGGGAGACAGGCUAUAAAGUCGCUGCAUCCAACAGUAAUCCAAAGAUAUAUGGUGCCUAUCUGGACAUUUCAUUUCCAGACCGGAGAAGUGAGUGAAUCAAAUACAGGAGUGAUGGUGAAAAGGAUUGUUUACUUCUCAUGUGCAAAAAGUCAGAAGACAUUGUGUGGCAUAUUGUGUGAAGAUACGUAUACACCCCUUAUUGGUGAGUGGACAGACACGUGGAACCCAGGGUGGGAGCCGUGAGAUCUGCUUACCUUGGAGGCUGUGUAGCUUACGGGCCGAGCUGUCCUCAGAGAUUCAUAAACAAUGGAACGAGUGAGAGUCAGGCCGGCUCUGUCGGUGCUAUUUCCCGGCAAUUAUGAACUCCGUCAGGAGUAGAGUACUCUUCUCUGCGUCGUCACACCGCAUGCCUGUGUGCGCGCACAGGAUACGCAUGAGAAUCUGACCCCGUCCAAGACUCAGCACAGAUGGCCACGAAAUCCUAUCAGAGAGGACGCCCUGAUCUGUCUGCUUGUUUGUUUGUGGUAAAGCUGCAUUCGAGCCCUGAACAGGAAGCUGGGAAAGGGGGCCGUACAUACCACUGUGUACCAUAGAAAGUGCCCCGCCAGGCGGAAGGUGAAAAUUCAGACUGAGGAAGACGGAGGAGUCUAGAAAAUGGUGACGCAGAAGGGUGCGUGAUGACAGGCACUGUCACGAAGGUACAGUGGGGAUGACAAAGAGGAGGAGAGCAAGUGGCCAAGGCCGAA